rnacentral:rRNA from 1 species
AACAGGAUUAGAUACCCUGGUAGUCCACGCCGUAAACGAUGUCGACUUGGAGGUUGUUCCCUUGAGGAGUGGCUUCCGGAGCUAACGCGUUAAGUCGACCGCCUGGGGAGUACGGCCGCAAGGUUAAAACUCAAAUGAAUUGACGGGGGCCCGCACAAGCGGUGGAGCAUGUGGUUUAAUUCGAUGCAACGCGAAGAACCUUACCUACUCUUGACAUCCACGGAAUUUGGCAGAGAUGCCUUAGUGCCUUCGGGAACCGUGAGACAGGUGCUGCAUGGCUGUCGUCAGCUCGUGUUGUGAAGUGUUGGGUUAAGUCCCGCAACGAGCGCAACCCUUAUCCUUUGUUGCCAGCGAUUCGGUCGGGAACUCAAAGGAGACUGCCGGUGAUAGACCGGAGGAAGGUGGGGAUGACGUCAAGUCAUCAUGGCCCUUACGAGUAGGGCUACACACGUGCUACAAUGGCGCAUACAAAGAGAAGCGACCUCGCGAGAGCAAGCGGACCUCACAAAGUGCGUCGUAGUCCGGAUCGGAGUCUGCAACUCGACUCCGUGAAGUCGGAAUCGCUAGUAAUCGUGGAUCAGAAUGCCACGGUGAAUACGUUCCCGGGCCUUGUACACACCGCCCGUCACACCAUGGGAGUGGGUUGCAAAAGAAGUAGGUAGCUUAACCUUCGGGAGGGCGCUUACCACUUUGUGAUUCAUGACUGGGGUGAAGUCGUAACAAGGUAACC